rnacentral:sRNA from 1 species
UCCAGUGUUGCUUAGUUGAGUGUGCGACGCGUUUGGCUUUAGUCGCUUGCCGUUAGUUUCGUUCACCAAAUGGCACCGAUAGUGAUGAAAUUUGCCAAGCGGAAAUUGGAAAUUGGAAAGUGCAAAGUGCAAAAUGGCCAGGGGAAAAUGCAUAAUGUCAAAGAAAAAGGCCCAAAUGCAAAGCAUUUAUAUCGCAAUGUGUGGCAAAGGUGAAGUGAAUUUGUUAUUAUUAUAUUAUUAUUUUUUUGGCUGAUUUCGCCGUCGCAGUCGCUGCGUCGCUGUCGCGAGGGCUUUGAACUCCCGACGUUCGCGUACCCGUUCAACGGCCCGCAGAUCGCAAGUAACGACACCGCCCCCGCCCAGUUGCUGUAGUGAAAAAGUGUAACAAAAAUCAAAGUGCGCCGAGCUGUAUUAUCUGGAACGCCUUAGAUAACCGCCUCACCCCCACCCCCUGCGAGCGGAGCAGCGAACAAUCAGCUAUUGACCCCGCUUCUGAGCAUUGAACUGCGAAAUGGGCCAUCAACAAAACUGGAUGUACAUACAUAUGUAUAUGUAUACAUACAUAUACAUAUUGCAGCUACAUGAAGCACACAAAAAAACUGCCGACGCUGGCAGCGCAGCUAGCGUCAGCGCCAACAACAGCGCCAGCGACAGCAACAGCGACAGCGACAGGCGAAUGUCUUAGUUAGCGAGAAAAAAGGAGGAAGAAGAAGAAGCAGCAGCAGUAGCAGUUGAAAAAAAACAUUGCAGCUCGCUAGGGGCGAAAAAAUGGGAUCAAGCAAUACUGAGGCUGUAAUAUUCCAUAAUCAUGUAUGAAAACUGAUCUCAAUGAUUCCUAAAAGUGCAAGAAAUACUUUGAGUGACCUUGAGCGAGAUUGCAGAACAGGAGGAGAUGAGGCACUCUGCAGAACUAUCUCAAGUAACUCUCUAAUGGGCGUCUUACUUCAACUUGGCGGCGAAUCAAUCGAUACACGGCCGCAAUCCGUUGGCCAAUUCGCUGGGGACAAGGGCACAACAAAGCGCUGAAACCUUGACUCACGCUGGUCGGUGGAUGGGACUAUAGGACCAGCUGAAUACAUACAUACAGACAUAUAUAUUUAUACUUGAUUUUCCCAGGAAAUGUCUUUCCAUUUCUAAGCUAAUUGAAAAUAUUAAAAGAGUAAGGACUUAUUAUUUUAUGUAGGCCAUUCAAAUUUUG